GCGGCGGACGGGUUAGUAACGCGUGGGAACGUGCCUUUCUCUAAGGAAUAGCCUCUGGAAACGGAGAGUAAUACCUUAUACGCCCUUCGGGGGAAAGAUUUAUCGGAGAAGGAUCGGCCCGCGUUAGAUUAGAUAGUUGGUGGGGUAACGGCCUACCAAGUCUACGAUCUAUAGCUGGUUUUAGAGGAUGAUCAGCAACACUGGGACUGAGACACGGCCCAGACUCCUACGGGAGGCAGCAGUGGGGAAUCUUGGACAAUGGGGGCAACCCUGAUCCAGCCAUGCCGCGUGAGUGAUGAAGGCCUUAGGGUCGUAAAGCUCUUUCGCCUGUGAAGAUAAUGACGGUAGCAGGUAAAGAAACCCCGGCUAACUCCGUGCCAGCAGCCGCGGUAAUACGGAGGGGGUUAGCGUUGUUCGGAAUUACUGGGCGUAAAGCGCACGUAGGCGGACCAGAAAGUUGGGGGUGAAAUCCCGGGGCUCAACCCCGGAACUGCCUCCAAAACUAUUGGUCUAGAGUUCGAGAGAGGUGAGUGGAAUUCCGAGUGUAGAGGUGAAAUUCGUAGAUAUUCGGAGGAACACCAGUGGCGAAGGCGGCUCACUGGCUCGAUACUGACGCUGAGGUGCGAAAGUGUGGGGAGCAAACAGGAUUAGAUACCCUGGUAGUCCACACCGUAAACGAUGAAUGCCAGUCGUCGGGUAGCAUGCUAUUCGGUGACACACCUAACGGAUUAAGCAUUCCGCCUGGGGGAGUACGGUCGCAAGAUUAAAACUCAAAGGAAUUGACGGGGGGCCCGCACAAGCGGNGGAGCAUGUGGUUUAAUUCGAAGCAACGCGCAGAACCUUACCAACCCUUGACAUCCCGGGACCGGUCCAGAGAUGGGCUUUCCACUUCGGNGGNUCG
rnacentral:rRNA from 1 species